GACCGACCCCUACCCAAUUCCCAUGACCCGUCUACCCGCCCCAUUUGUCUUUUAAAUGUCAGUCAUUCAUGCAUUUUUAUUCAAUGGUCCACAAUUAAUCCCCACAUCCAUAUAAAACCUUAUUUUUAGCCAAACCCUAAACCUAAAGAUCCAACCCAAAACGGCGCCCACCCCUUUCUAGAUUCUGUUGCGUUUAAGCUACCCAAACUCACCGAAAAACUCAUCAAACCCGGCGAGUUCACUCAACUGGUACCCACGGCCCCCCCUCCUCUCCUCUCCUCUCCUUCUUCCACGUCACUCAAAUCGUACAAAUCUCAUCAUACCGAUUCGAUUCAUGCGUUAUUUUGCGUUUCUUAUGCUUUUCCUUUAAGAAAAUCCGAAGCCGUUGAAUAAAUCUUGGAAGAACGGGAACCGUUGGAUGAAGAUUUUUGUCCAAAAUUUCCAUUUUUCUGAUUUUUGUCUGUGAAAGGGGAUUUUUGGAAUUUGUUUUAUGGUCCCAUGCGAUUUCUUGUUGAGGAAGUAUAGAAGUUUCGGGAGGCGCCUAUAUAUUUGGGAAAUUUUCAGAGAGUCGGGAGAAAAAAAGGGAUUCUAGGGUUCUUGAGAAUUCUUCUUAUUUUUUUCAUUUUGGAUAGAAAUACAAAAAAGUGUAAUCAAUCUAAAAUAGUUCGAGUCUUUUGGUUCGACUUCUAUUUCUCCAUUUAAAAAAUCAGAAAACAAAAAAUAUAUAUAUAUUUAGUUUAGUUGUUCUUUGAUUUUCGGCUUUCUUCCUCCAAUUUUAGAUUCCACAUUUUUGAUUUUGUUGUUCGAAUAUGGAGAUCGAUUGAGCCAAAGUCAAGUUCGUCGUUCGAGGUUCAAGCUCGUGAUUCCUUGUCCAUUUCUAAUUGUUGCACUCAUUCAAUUCUAAUAUGUUGCUGGAUUUCGUCGCUUGUACAUUCAAAGCUGAAUUUAUCGAAAAGUUUCAGUUCAGGUUUAUCUCUUUUUCUUUUACUUUUAUCUUGGCGUGCAUCCAAAUAUGAUGAGAGUUUAGGAUAAAAGUGAUUGAAUUGGAGUGCUAAUAGGGGCUGAUUCCUGUGGUUUUAUUGUUGUUGAUUCCGAAUGAAGUCCAUUUGAUGUGAACUUGUUCUAUUUUACCUUGGCUGUUUGAAGUACUUCUUAAUCUCAAAUCUUCUUGUUUCCUUAUACUAUUAACAGAUUGAUUACAUGGUGUUAAGAAACUGAAAUGAUCGAUUUAAUUCCUUGAAGUUCCAUGGUUGACUAGCUGUUUCUGGUGACCUUGCUUAUAAGCUCGUCGAUUAUUUUGUAACUCUCAUCUUAAUUUUGUCUCGACUGGUUGUCGUCGUGUUGAACAAUUAUUUGUAGUUUUACUAUUGCUGUUGAAAUCCAAUAAUUGGUGCAUUCAUGGGUGAUUAUCAGUAUUCCCUGAUCAUAUAUGCUGA
rnacentral:lncRNA from 1 species